rnacentral:tRNA from 1 species
UGUAAUGGGGCUCAGCAGUAGAGCACUAGCCUAGCACUUGCAGAGCCCUGGGUUCUAUCCCCAGCACUGCAA